CGUUAAAAUUAGAAAUGCAAAUGAGACGAAAUGGAAGCGAUAUCGUUACCAUUAUAAUAAGUUCCGACAAGCGAAUCAAUCCAGUUCUGAUGGAAAAGGUCUUGCGUAAAC
ensembl:ncRNA Y34B4A.12 ncRNA